GUCUACAGCCAUGCCACCCUGAACAAGCUCAAUCCCAUCUGAUCUUAGAAGCUAAGUAGGGUCGGACCUGGUUAGUACUUAGAUGGAAGCCCACGUAGGAAGACCAGGUACUGUAGGUC
rnacentral:rRNA from 1 species